rnacentral:misc_RNA from 1 species
AGCCGAGGCGCACGUCCGCGC